rnacentral:rRNA from 1 species
UUAUAAGAGACAGCAGUAGCCACGGUAAUACGUAGGUGGCAAGCGUUGUCCGGAAUUAUUGGGCGUAAAGGGCUCGCAGGCGGUUUCUUAAGUCUGAUGUGAAAGCCCCCGGCUCAACCGGGGAGGGUCAUUGGAAACUGGGAAACUUGAGUGCAGAAGAGGAGAGUGGAAUUCCACGUGUAGCGGUGAAAUGCGUAGAGAUGUGGAGGAACACCAGUGGCGAAGGCGACUCUCUGGUCUGUAACUGACGCUGAGGAGCGAAAGCGUGGGGAGCGAACAGGAUUAGAUACCCCCGUAGUCCCUGUCUCUUAUAC